GCCCAUCUUAACAUUCCCUGAUGUGUAAACCCAGAGAAGUUCCCUAGUCUCUCUGGGUCUCUAUCUCCUCAUCUGCAAACGGGGACAGUACCUACAUACACCCUACAGGUACAAGGACACUAACAGAACCUCCCUCUUAAGGUUGUGAAGAAUGAAUGAGAUCAUGUCUCUGUCAGUCUGGACACAUCUAAUUACUCAUGAAAUGGCAGCUGUUCUUAGAAAUAGUGACUCUAACCUCAGGCAGCACAGAGGAUGCUAUUUUUGAAAUUCAACUUGUCCCAAAUGGAAAAAAGUAAUUUUGUUUGGUUUUCUUUUCCAUUUUGGUAGCACAACUAUUAGACUCAUUAAACUUGAAAAUCACUUUUACCCACUAAAAUUAAAAAAAAAAGUAUAGAUUUUAAAAAAUGAGGGUGACCUAAACUCACUUUGGUUAAAUGUGUUGUUCCACAGAUGAGAAACUGGGGUGUGGUUGGGCCAAAUGAGUCGACCAAAGUGACAGGUGGUCGAUGGCAGAAAUGUGCUCAGAAACUCCCGGAAACCCCAGGCCGGACUCUUGUCAGUCUGACUGCCUGGCCCUACCCGAAGUCACCCAAAAGGUCUCAAGAGAGUUGACAGGAUCCAGAGAUAGCCACCUGAUGAAACUGCUGUCAGUGUGUGAUUAUCGAAGAUUCAAAAACUAAGGAGUGCAAAAUGGUUAUCAUCCUUUCCAGCGAUCAAGGAUCUGCUGGCCUCCUCCUUGCUUGUCCCCAACCAGAGCCAGAGACAGCAUCCGCCAUGCGUCACGCGGCCCCAUGAAGUACGCACCUGCCUUCAUGUCUACACCUCAUUAACGUAACCGAUGAUGAGAAAGAAUGACAUGGUACCCAAAGCCCGUAUUAGCGCAGGCCAACUCCCAAAACAUCCCUUUGUGAGCUGGGCAGCUUUGUUCACUACAUGAUUCCACGCUACAGCAUCCUCUGUUUAUCAGAUGGCUUCAACCACGGGAACAUGGUGCCCCAGUCUUUGCUGAAGCACAUCCUUCACCGUGCAGUGCUGAAGUGUGGGAACAGACAGCUGAGAUGUCUCGGAGACAUGCAGCCAUGUACACGGAGGUCCAUGUAUGGACAAGACGUACAGAAAGACGGCAAUGGGGUGCUCUCUCCCGUCGCUGGAAGGAAACAGAAAUGUUCUCUGCUUUUGGCCGGAGAGUGCCCAGAUGAGCAGGACACUUGCCCAGCGGUUCUGCAGUAGUAACAGAGGCCAAUGUUGCAUUCCUCUCAUUUCCAAGCAAGCCACAGCAAUCCCAACAGUGCACAUGUAGGGAGUUUGUUCUUAAAUCACCCAACUGUGUCUCCCAGGAUGUACAUCCUAACAAAAGCAAAAUGGGAGCUAUUCACAAGCACACAACUUUUUAAUAUAAAAUUCUGAGUUGAAUUCUCUGUCACCUUACGUUUUCUUCUAAAGACUACAUCAUUUCCACAUGCAACUGUGUGCUUCAUAUAAGCCUAAUCCUUUUGCCCCUGCACCUUACGUUCUAGAUUUUCUUCCUAUGUCCUGCACAUUAAACGCAACUCAACUCCCGCAGAAUAAAAAUGUGCAGGUAUCAGGCUUUCUGUCUGUUUAUGACCAUGUGGUUGAAUUUCAGCAAAACUCGCAGAAUGUGGGAUCUCAAAAGAGAACUUGCAGAUGACCUCGUUUAUAUCUUCCGUGUAGCUUCUGGGGAAAUUGAGUCUGUAAUAGUUCGGUGACUUUGCUAAGACUCGGUAAUGACUAAGCCGAGACCAUGAAUUUCUGCUAUCUUGCAUUUCCCAUUUACUAUACGUUUAUUUUCUACCCAACAGGGUGAAGCAUUCGCCUGGUUACUUUUGCAGAACAGCCACUUCAGAAAACUGGCAGUUUCUUUCCAAGUUAAAUAUAUGUCUAUUCUACGACCCAGUGAUUCUGUUUCUAGGAACCUACCCAGGGGAAAUGAAAACAUAUGUCCAUAUAAAGACUUGUACAAAAAUGCUCAUAGCAGCUGUAUUCAUAAUAACCCCCAACUGGAAACAAUAUUAAUGUACAAUAAUAGGCCAAUGGAUAAACAAAUUGUGGUGUAUAUAUAAACUGGAACAUUAGUUAUUUUCGCAGGUAUUCUGGGCAAGCUCUCCUGAUGCAGUGAGCACAAAGAGGCAAGUUCAAUUCGCGUGGAUUAUCACCAGGGUCCUUUGUAGUCCUGGCCAUCUUCACUCAUUUCUUUGGUACAUCCCUUCUCUCACUGCUAGCCGAUUUUAUACCUCCUUCUCCCAAACCUCAAAUACUUUACAACUUCCUCAUCCAUCCUGCCUCCUCUCGUUACCCUGCAUGAAGUGCCUGGAUCCCUAGCCAGGGCCAACCCCUCUGCUUGCUUUCUGGACCCCCAGCCCUUCUACCUUCACGAUGACAUUGCUCUAGAAACUGUCCCCUCUCCUCCAUCAUUGAUCCCUCCCCCACCACAUUAACCGUUCACAUUAACACAAAACACACUUUAUUCUUGCCUGUCUGGACCCAACAUCCUCCUCCAGCUAUUACCCAUCCCUGCCUUCCCUCGGAGCCAACUCUCCAAAGACAUAUCUGUGUUUAACCCAUUCUAAGCUAAUCUUCCUAUUCCAACCUCUUUGUUAACAAAACAAGCUCCUAGUUUUGAUGAGACCUCGGCAUUGUUAAUUCCAAAGGGCAAUCUCAAGUCUUAUCUUACCCCAGUUUUCCACAGCAGCUGGAAAAACUGAUAAAUUUCCACCUCUCUGACACCACUAAUUUAUAUGCUUUCUGGAACAUUAUGCUUUCUUGGCUUGCUUUAUGAUUGAGGGCUCGCUCUCAGUUCCCUGUACUGUUUUUUCCCCUCCUGCUGCCUCUCAAACACUGGGGAGCCUGGGGCCUGGUCUCUGGACCUCUUCUCUUUGUACUCCCUAGAUGAUGGUCUUCAGACUCAUGACUUUCAGUCAUGCUACCCACCCUGGACGCUCAUGCUUGGAUCUCCAGCCAGGUCCUUGUCCUGCCUCCAGAAUAUGACAGCCACCUGCCAACCAGCCCCUUCAGCACAUCCAAGCUCCCCCACUCUCUCAAAUCCACUCCAAUCCCAGGAUUGCAUUCGGGCAAUGCCAACUUCUGGCUUUCCAUCCCACGUCCGACUCACCAGCAAACUCUGUCAGCCUCUCCCCUUGUGCUGCUUCUAAUCCGUUCCAUCUCAGCCACCCCACCACCACCCUCCUGCUCAGGUUACUGCAAUGGCUUUCGAGUUGUCUCCUCUGCUCCCCCUUUCACCCCCCAGGACCAGUGAUCCUUCUAAAUGAUUAACCAGAUCUUGUCGCUCUUCUGCUCAAAACACACCCAUGGCGUCCUGUCUCACGGAGAGCAAAGCCAACUUUUGUCACCAUCAUCUCUUUGAGCUCACAGUGGCUUCACUCUUUCUUCCCGCGUGGGUGUACCUGUGCGGACCACUCCUCGCCUCAAUUUCUGCACGUCCUUCAGGUCCCUGAGGCCUUUCUUGACACCUCCCACCCUCUCGCUCUCUUGCCGCCAUCUAACAUUUGUUCACUGACUGUCUCUCUCCACUAGAAUGCAAACUUCCCCAGGACAGGUAUUGUAUUUUAUUCCCUGUUGGACCCAGGGCCAGUAAUAGGCACUAUAAAUCUUGGUGGAGCAAACGAAUAACAAAAGAAUGCUACGCUUUGUAUUGAGUGGAACACGCUCCUUCUACUUCCUGCAACCAAAGCAUUAUAAAUAAAUUACAUUAGCAACAAAUUAGCUCGCUGAGACCAUCCGAGCUCUGUUCUCCAAAUCGCCAUGAGAGAAUCAAUAGCAGCGAAUCAAACCAUGAAGAAAUUCAAUCUUGCCUCCACGUGAAAUCAAAACAGCAUUUAUGGUAUGCAAAGUUACUUACUAAUUUGAUAAACAUUUCCGAACAGGCAAC